UACGUAGGGUGCAAGCGUUAAUCGGAAUUACUGGGCGUAAAGCGUGCGCAGGCGGUGAUGUAAGACCGGUGUGAAAUCCCACGGCUUAACCAUGGAAGUGCAUCCGAAACUGCAGUGCUUGAGUACUUAAGAGGAUCGCGGAAUUCCUGGUGUAGCAGUGAAAUGCGUAGAUAUCAGGAGGAACACCGGUGGCGAAGGCGGCUUUCUGGACAGAAACUGACGCUGAUGCGCGAAAGCUAGGGGAGCAAACAGG
rnacentral:rRNA from 1 species